UUCUCUGGUUGAUCCUGCCGGCGGUCACCGCUCUUGGAAUCCGACUAAGCCAUGCGAGUCGAGAGGGUUCGGCCCUCGGCGCACCGCUCAGUAACACGUGGAUAACCUACCCUGGAGUGGGGGAUAAUCUCGGAAACCUGAGGAUAAUACCCCAUAGGCCUUUGGUACUGGAAUGUUCUUAGGCCCAAAGUUACGGCGCUCCAGGAUGGGUCUGCGGCCUAUCAGGUAGUAGUGAGUGUAAAGGACUCACUAGCCGACAACGGGUACGGGCCAUGGGAGUGGUAGCCCGGAGAUGGAUUCUGAGACACGAAUCCAGGCCCUACGGGGCGCAGCAGGCGCGAAAACUUCGCAAUGCGCGAAAGCGCGACGAGGGGAUUCCAAGUGCAUGCACUUAGUGUAUGCUGUUUGCUAGUCCAAAUAGCUAGUAGAGUAAGGGCUGGGUAAGACUGGUGCCAGCCGCCGCGGUAAUACCAGCGGCCCGAGUGGUGAUCGUUAUUAUUGGGUCUAAAGCGUCCGUAGCCGGCCCGGUAAAUCUCUGGGUAAAUCGUUGGGCUCAACUCAGCGAAUUCUAGGGAGACUGCCGGGCUUGGGACCGGGAGAGGUCGGAGGUACUCCGAGGGUAGGGGUGAAAUCCUGUAAUCCUUGGGGGGACCACCGGUGGCGAAGGCGUCCGACCAGAACGGGUCCGACGGUAAGGGACGAAGCCCUGGGGCGCGAACCGGAUUAGAUACCCGGGUAGUCCAGGGUGUAAACGCUGUGCGCUUGGUGUUGGGGGUCCUUUGAGGGCAUCCAGUGCCGGAGAGAAGUUGUUAAGCGCACCACCUGGGGAGUACGGUCGCAAGACUGAAACUUAAAGGAAUUGGCGGG
rnacentral:rRNA from 1 species